UGCAGGAAAUAGUUGUGGGAUGUCCCUGCUUCCAAGGUGUGGGGACUCCCCCCCAGGCGUCAUUGCACAUGCAGGCUGUCAUGUGCAGGAGCCCCAGGUCUGUCCCCCGAUGGGGACACGAGGCUGGCUGAGCCCCCAGGCCCCUGGGUGCUUCUUGAGCCCACUGCCUGUCUCUCAGGGCUCCAGGAGGCUCCUGCAAGACGGGAAAGUGCUCAGUAAGCACUUGGGGCCCCUGUUGACAGAGAUGCUGGGGAAGGGCGAUGAGUCAAUCUGCUUAUGAAAAUCACACAUACCGACACAGACGUCAGGAUGACCCUGGGGACAGCUGCGUUCUGAGAGCUGACGAGUGUUGCUCAUGCUUGGGGGUGCACCACGGGUGUGACUUUUUGGCAACCCGUUUCCUGUACCUCCAACAGUCUACACAGGAGCAGAUGCAUGACCUGUUCCCUGAAACAGGCCUCUGUCCCGAACAGCCGAACAGCCCAGGUUGGGAGAGGGAGGCCAGGUGACUCAGAGCCCAACCGAGUCAGAGCCUGUGCUUUAGUCUCUGGAGGGGGGACAGGAGGCGGGGAGGGCAGAGCUGCAGCUGCUCGGGUUCUGAUCCUCUGUGCCUUCCCAUUUGCUGAGCACCCUUAAGCCACAGGCAAAUCAGUGUCAUCUGUCAGAAGUAAGACUUGCACCCAGGCAUCUUGCUUGGAAAUGUUUUCUAAAUAUAGUUAAAUAUUUGCGACUGCCUGUAAGUUCUCAUGCGGUAUUUUGCUCUUCCUGCAGAGUUUCCUUGUUGGAAAUUUUUUCCAUGGGAGCGCCCCCCCCCCCCAUAUCUGACUUUGAGGUUAGUCCACAGUAACCGCCCUUCCCCCCAGCAAAUCUCUCACAGGUGCUUUCUGGGCUCUUAGAAACUACUUAAAAGGUAGUAUUUCGUCUGUGAGUGUUCUCGGCCUACAGAAGUCAACUUGUCGCAAACUGGGGAUGGAGGCAAUCUUGUCCCCUCGACCACGAACAUCAGAGUCCCGAAGAUGUUCAGUCUCAGGGAACCUCUGGGAAAAUAUGAGCUGCUGGUACAGGAGAAGCUUGUUUCCAGAAGCAGGGGUGGAGGAAGGGGACUUUUUGGAUUCCUGCACGUUUUGCAGAAGAAUUCCUUUCAGGGAAGAUUCCUGGCUUUUUAAAUGUCAUCUUCCAGCAUGGGGUCAAAGAAGUCUGUUUCCACACGGGCCACUUAUCAGAGAGACUUCUUUCAGACGCUGGGUCCCAGGGCAGGACUGGGCGGGCGGGAGGGUCUGCAGGAAAACGAAGAGCUGCCAGCCCAGCAGCCUCUGCUCAAGGCUGCCUCCUCCUGCCCCUCCUCUCACACCCGCCCCAGCAGGGCUCCCGGGUGUUGUGGGCUUCCAGAAAGACUCUGGGUUGGUUGGUUGGUUGAUCUGGCAUUGUUGUGGCUGUGGUGUAGGCCUGCAGCUGCAGCUCUGGUUUGACCCCUAGACCGGCAAUCUCCAUAAGCUGCAGGUGCGGCCCUAAAAACAAAACAAAACAGAAACAAAUGACCACUGAUGCAGCCUGGCAGAGUGAUGACGAGCUUGGACCUUGGAGCCAGACUUCCUGGGUUCAAAUCUCAACUGUCCAUCUGCUGUUACCAUUGUAGAGUACCUUGGGUAAGGUGUUCAAUCUCUCUGCGUCCUCCUAAUACCUCCUAAUCAAGCACCUAGCCCUGUGUCUGGCUCCAGUACCUGUCAAGAUGAAUCACCUAGGUAUUACCGUUGCCGGAAGCCCCCACAUGCUGUUGGCGCCCACUCCACUGCCUGCCUGGUCCUCCUGGGAACUCAGAAGAAGGGACUUAGCUGGAGGAGUAGCAGUAGGGCUGGGGCGGGCAGGCCUGGGGCAGUCAGGACACUGGCCCCUGUGAGGAAGGGACCGCAAGGGGCCUUGGGGGUGCUGAGUGAGCAGUCCCAGGCCUUUAGUGCCAGUUGUUUGCUGACUAGUAAGGACCUUCAGUAAAUUUCCACCCUCUGUAACUCAGCUUUGUUUUUUUGCAUUUUGACCAAAUUAAAAAUAAAAUCUCUGGGGAGGGGUGGACAAGGCAAAGGGAGGGAAGAGACCUGCUCGAGUAGUGCAGGGGCGGCCUUACCAGCUGGGCAGAACCCCGGACGCCCUUUCCCAGAGGAAAGGCUGAGCAUUUCUGUCCUGUGAGCUUUGUCCCUGAGGAAGUCAGCUCCCAGAGGCCGCCAGCCCCCCCCCCCCGCUCCUCCCUCCCCCCCCCCCCCCCGCGCCGUUUCCUCCUAUUGUUGCUCCCCCCUGGGCUGCAGCGGCCCAGCAGUGGGAGAGGUGUGCUGGGCCUCUGUGCGCCAAAGCACUUCCUAUGCUUUCAGCGGCUUCUCCCUCUCCCCUCUUUCCUCUCGCCCCCAUUAUUUUUAGUUCUUAAGAGGAUGGAGUCCAGCAGGGAGGAGGAAGGAGGAGCCAAGUCAGUGACCUUCUGGAUCAGAGAUGGAACAUUGGCCGGGCCCUGCCUGGUUGGGAGUAUGAGGAGCCAUUCCAUUUUGGGUGAAAGAUACCUCCGUUCUUGGGUG
rnacentral:lncRNA from 1 species